rnacentral:misc_RNA from 1 species
UCCCGGUUGUCCCGGGCAGUCUCGUCUGAAAAAUCCAACAGACGACAAGGGUUGCGCUCGUUGCGGGACUUAACCCAACAUCUCACGACACGAGCUGACGACGGCCAUGCAACACCUGUCACCGCGUUCCCGAAGGCACUCCCCUGUUUCCAGGGGAUUCGCGGGAUGUCAAACCUUGGUAAGGUUCUGCGCGUAGCGUCGCAUUAAACCUCAUGAUCCACCGCUUGUGCGGGUCCCCGUCAAUUCCUUUGAGUUUUAAGCUUGCGCUCGUACUCCCCAGGCGGGAUGCUUAACGCGUUAGCUUCUCAGCCCAAGGGGUCGAUACCUCGAACUAAUAGCAUCCAUCGUUUACGGCGUGGACUAC